CCUACGGGAGGCAGCAGUGGGGAAUAUUGGACAAUGGGCGAAAGCCUGAUCCAGCCAUGCCGCGUGUGUGAAGAAGGCCUUCGGGUUGUAAAGCACUUUCAGUGGGGAAGAAAGCCUUGGGGCUAAUACCCUCGAGGAAGGACAUCACCCACAGAAGAAGCACCGGCUAACUCCGUGCCAGCAGCCGCGGUAAUACGGAGGGUGCGAGCGUUAAUCGGAAUUACUGGGCGUAAAGCGCGCGUAGGCGGUCUGAUAAGCCGGUUGUGAAAGCCCCGGGCUCAACCUGGGAACGGCAUCCGGUACUGUCAGGCUAGAGUGCAGGAGAGGAAGGUAGAAUUCCCGGUGUAGCGGUGAAAUGCGUAGAGAUCGGGAGGAAUACCAGUGGCGAAGGCGGCCUUCUGGACUGACACUGACGCUGAGGUGCGAAAGCGUGGGUAGCAAACAGGAUUAGAUACCCGAGUAGUC
rnacentral:rRNA from 1 species